GUUCUCACUACAUCAGCACAUACACUAAUAAUGGAACAAUUUAGAAAAGAUUAGCAUAGCCCCUAUGCAAAGAUGACACGAACAUUUGUGAAGUGUUUCAUAUUUUG